ACAGUGGAAAGAAGGCCUGGGCCAAGAGUCAGGAGAGACCUGGUUUGAAUCCUACCACGGACACUUCACUGUGUGACCCUGGGCCAGUCAAGCAACCUAGCUGUAUCUCCUGACCAACCUUUGCUGGAAGCAUCAUCCAGGUUCAGCUCAUCCUGCUCAAGGUAAAGAAGCUAGCCUUUGAACUUGGAUUUGUGUCUUCCAGACUAGGAGCCAUUAACCUACAGCUGGUAGCAAACAGCAGGAACCAUCCAAUGUCCUCUUGUCCUUCCUUGGAUGCAGCCUGUGCUCUGUUCCAGUCAACUUCUUUGGGACCUCCUCAAGGCAUGGACAGCUCUACACUCCUUGCCAGCAGGAAGCAGUUUCAGAAGCCACACUUUGCCCCUUACCCCAAAAGAAUUUCAGUCCCAUUCCUUCGAGGGGGGAGUGAUGAGGAUGGGAUCUAGACCUCAGAAAGGAAAAACCCUGGACUUUACCACUUGGCCAAAUGUCUGGCAUUCACCUGAGGCUAUAAUCCCAUCAACUGGCCUUUCUUUGUGGCUAUACCUAAUCUCCCCUCCAUCUCUUACCUCCCUAUGGCCCCUGGCCAUUUCCCACACUUAAUCCUAGUUAGACUCCAUUGUCCAGGUGCCAGGAGUUCUGUUCACCCCAGUUUACUGGCCACUCCUAUCCACAUCUCCUUGGACCCCUCCUCCCAUCACCCCAAACUGCAUGGCCACUCCUACAUCCUUCUCACAGGCUUUCUUGUCCAUUUUGUCUCCCUUAAGAUGCUGGGAUUCUUAUAAUCUAGCCACUGCUUAGAUUUUUAUAAUCUUAUACUCUAGCCAAUAAGC